UUUCAAAACUGCAUCCCUUGAGUAUCGGAGAGGCAAGCGGAAUUCCUAGUGUAGCGGUGAAAUGCGUAGAUAUUAGGAGGAACACCAGUGGCGAAGGCGGCUUGCUGGACGACAACUGACGCUGAGGCGCGAAAGCGUGGGGAGCAAACAGGAUUAGAUACCCUGGUAGUCCACGCUGUAAACGAUGAAUACUAGGUGUGGGAGGACUGACCCCUUCCGUGCCGCAGUUAACACAAUAAGUAUUCCACCUGGGGAGUACGACCGCAAGGUUGAAACUCAAAGGAAUUGACGGGGGCCCGCACAAGCAGUGGAUUAUGUGGUUUAAUUCGACGCAACGCGAAGAACCUUACCAGGAUUUGACAUCCAACUAACGAAGUAGAGAUACAUUAGGUGCCCUUCGGGGAAAGUUGAGACAGGUGGUGCAUGGUUGUCGUCAGCUCGUGUCGUGAGAUGUUGGGUUAAGUCCCGCAACGAGCGCAACCCCUAUUGUUAGUUGCUACGCAAGAGCACUCUAGCGAGACUGCCGUUGACAAAACGGAGGAAGGCGGGGACGACGUCAAAUCAUCAUGCCCCUUAUGUCCUGGGCUACACACGUAAUACAAUGGCCGUCAACAAAGGGAAGCAAAGCCGCGAGGUGGAGCAAACCCCCAAAAACGGUCUCAGUUCGGAUUGCAGGCUGCAACUCGCCUGCAUGAAGCUGGAAUUGCUAGUAAUCGUGGAUCAGCAUGCCACGGUGAAUACGUUCCCGGGCCUUGUACACAC
rnacentral:rRNA from 1 species